GACUUCGGGGUGUAACGGUAGCACAUUCGGAUCGUAUUCGAGAGAUCCAGGUUCGAGUCCCGGCGAGAGCA
rnacentral:tRNA from 1 species